rnacentral:rRNA from 1 species
GACGAACGCUGGCGGCGUGCUUAACACAUGCAAGUCGAACGGAAAGGCCCUGCUUUUGUGGGGUGCUCGAGUGGCGAACGGGUGAGUAACAAGUGAGUAACCUGCCCUUGACUUUGGGAUAACUUCAGGAAACUGGGGCUAAUACCGGAUAGGAGCUCCUGCUGCAUGGUGGGGGUUGGAAAGUUUCGGCGGUUGGGGAUGGACUCGCGGCUUAUCAGCUUGUUGGUGGGGUAGUGGCUUACCAAGGCUUUGACGGGUAGCCGGCCUGAGAGGGUGACCGGCCACAUUGGGACUGAGAUACGGCCCAGACUCCUACGGGAGGCAGCAGUGGGGAAUAUUGCACAAUGGGCGGAAGCCUGAUGCAGCAACGCCGCGUGCGGGAUGACGGCCUUCGGGUUGUAAACCGUUUUCGCCUGUGACGAAGCGUGAGUGACGGUAAUGGGUAAAGAAGCACCGGCUAACUACGUG